CGGGCCUGUGGGCAGCUUCGCUGUUGAACCCUGAGUAAGAGAACCUGCACAGGGCUCAUUAUAAGACUGAAUGAAUGCUUUAACACUACAGUAUAGUGCAGAAACGAGGCCGCUUUUCAGUACCCACAGGUGUGUGUUUGUGUACCAAGGCGGGGCUGCCCUCAGGUGUGUGUUUGUGUACCAAGGCGGGGCUGCCCUCAGGUGUGUGUUUGUGUACCAAGGCGGGGCUGCCCUCAGGUGUGUGUUUGUGUACCAAGGCGGGGCUGCCCUCAGGUGUGUGUUUGUGGGCGGGGCUGUCCGCAGGUGUGUGCUGGUAUGGGGCGGGGCCAUUCUCAGGUGUGCACUUGUGCAGGGCGAGCUGGAGAGCCUGCAGGAUGGUGUCCUGGCUGUUGCUGACGUUAUAGGCGG